rnacentral:rRNA from 1 species
CAGUAGCCACGGGAAUACGAAGGGUGCAAGCGUUACUCGGAAUUACUGGGCGUAAAGCGUGCGUAGGUGGUGGUUUAAGUCCGUUGUGAAAGCCCUGGGCUCAACCUGGGAAUUGCAGUGGAUACUGGGUCACUAGAGUGUGGUAGAGGAUAGUGGAAUUUCCGGUGUAGCAGUGAAAUGCGUAGAGAUCGGAAGGAACAUCUGUGGCGAAGGCGACUAUCUGGGCCAACACUGACACUGAGGCACGAAAGCGUGGGGAGCAAACAGGAUUAGAGACCCCUGUAGUCCCUGUCUCUUAUAC